GCCCUACGGGGGAUAGCUGGGGACCUUCUGGCCUUGCUCGAUUGGAUGAUCCCAGGUGGGAUUAGCUAGUUGGUGAGGUAAUGGCUCACCAAGGCGACUAUCCCUAGCUGGUCUGAGAGGAUGAUCAGCCACACUGGAACUGAUACACGGUCCAGACUCCUUCGGGAGGCAUCAGUGGGUAAUAUUGCACUUUGGGGGAAACCCUGAUGCUCCAUGCCGCGUGUGUGAAAAAGGCCU
rnacentral:rRNA from 1 species